CCCCCCUCCACGCGAGGCUGGCUCUGGAAGGCAGCAGCCCAGCCCUGGUUUUGGCAGUGGGCUCUGUAGAGGGCUGAGCUGCAGCCAGCCCUCUCUCUCACAAACAGCGCCCGAUUGUUCACUUUGGCUCCCUGUGGGCUCUGAGGAAUUUGGUUUGGUAAUUCUCUCACAGGGAGCCCGGAAGGCCAGACAGACUGCUUCCGGCUCAGGGGUGGCACUGAGCAGCCCAGAGUCCCAUGUGGAGCCCAGCAGAAAAUAGGAAUCCGAGGCCCUGCCAGAAUCAUCAGAGUCAAGUGGCAAGGCAAAAGUCAAGGUGACUGGGGAUGGCCCAGGAUUCAGCAGAUGACCGUAGCUUCUUCAAUGUCUAACCAAACGAGAUACUGGAAGGGUUCUCCAAUUCAUUUGACAGAUGAAGAAACAGAAGCAAAGAAGGUUAAAUGACUUUCACGAUCACACGUCUAUGUCUAAGGCCAGAUUUUAAUUUAGGAAGAGGAAUCUUUUUGACUCUAAAUCUAGCACUCUAUCCACUAUACCAUGUAGCUCUCUCAUUUUGGAGAGGAGACU
rnacentral:lncRNA from 1 species